rnacentral:rRNA from 2 species
UGGGGAAUAUUGCGCAAUGGGGGAAACCCUGACGCAGCGACGCCGCGUGCGGGAUGAAGGCCUUCGGGUUGUAAACCGCUUUUGAUUGGGAGCAAGCUUUCGGGUGAGUGUACCUUUCGAAUAAGCGCCGGCUAACUACGUGCCAGCAGCCGCGGUAAUACGUAGGGCGCAAGCGUUAUCCGGAAUUAUUGGGCGUAAAGAGCUUGUAGGCGGUUCGUCGCGUCUGGUGUGAAAGCCCAUCGCUUAACGGUGGGUCUGCGCCGGGUACGGGCGGGCUAGAGUGCAGUAGGGGAGACUGGAAUUCCCGGUGUAACGGUGGAAUGUGUAGAUAUCGGGAAGAACACCAAUGGCGAAGGCAGGUCUCUGGGCUGUUACUGACGCUGAGAAGCGAAAGCGUGGGGAGCGAACA